GAUUAUAUUAGAAUACGAAACUUAUCAUUAUCUAUAUUUCAAUAUUCCAUAUUAGUGUAGGAAUUAGGUUUAGUCAUCAUCUCUAUAUAAGCAUAUGCAAUUCAAUUAUACUUCUUCCAAUUCUAUACUCUCAUCAAUCUUUUUCAUAGUAUCAGAGCAGAAGAUUCUUUGACCUAUUUUUUUUUCUUUUCUCUCUUCAAUAUCUACUACUACAUCACCGUGCUCCUG
rnacentral:lncRNA from 1 species